CUGCUGCCUUCCGUAGGAGUCUGGUCCGUGUCUCAGUACCAGUGUGGGGGACCUUCCUCUCAGAACCCCUACGCAUCGUCGGUUAGGUGGGCCGUUACCCCGCCUACUGCCUAAUGCGCCGCAUGCCCAUCCCUGUCCCGGCCGAAGCCUUUCCUGCCUCCGGGAUGCCCCGGUGGCAUGUACGCGGGUUUAGCCCGCCUUUCGGCGGGUUGUCCCCCUGACAGGGGCAGGUUGCAUACGUGUUACUCACCCGUGCGCCGGUCGCCGGCGGAGAAA
rnacentral:rRNA from 1 species